UCCCCCGGCCCCGCUCGGCCCGUGCGGCUGCCCCCAGCUCCAGCCCCUCCCCUGGAGCCUGUGCUGUGGCUGCAGGCAGCCCCCGAGCCCUGUCGUGAGGGCAGCAAGCUGGCCCUCGGUGCAUCUCCAGAAGCCUCUGCAGAAGGAGGGGCUCUGGCCAGGGGCGAUCUGCGGUAAUGAGUCGAUGCUUCUCUUUCGCAGAGGCUGCGCUGAGGGCAUGGUUGUCUCUUCCUCCCUUGGGGAUGCUGUUGACUGCAGCAGCCUCAGGCUUGCGUGGGCUGUCUCUGCCUGGCCUCCCUCUCCGCGCGGGCGCCGGAGCACAAAGGGACAGGUGGGGCACUUACCGGCUGUGGGCAGGAGCUGCUGCGGCUGAAGCUGGAGAGGCCAGAGAAAGGUAGAGAAGAAGAAAUGGAAGGCCGGCCGGCCGGCAGCUGCCUCCCGCUGCAGGCAAGAGAGAGCCUGCCUCUCCGCGUGUGGAAGGAUCCCUCCUCGUAGUCCGCAGCAGGGGGAGGAGGACAGCCGUGCAGCCGGAGUUACAGCAGAGGAGGGGAGCGGGAGAGGAGCAGAAAGAAGCGUCUGAACUGGCCAAUUCUCCUGGCAGCGCCAAGAACAAGAGCUGUGGACUGGUGUUUGUCAAGGAUUAAGCCUGUCAGAGACUGGUA